GAUGAACGCUAGCGACAGGCCUAACACAUGCAAGUCGAGGGGCAGCACGGUGUAGCAAUACACGGGUGGCGACCGGCGCACGGGUGAGUAACGCGUAUGCAACCUGCCUACUACAAGGGGAUAACCCGUUGAAAGACGGACUAAUACCCUAUAACACAGGGAAUCCGCAUGGAUAUAUUUGUUAAAGAUUUAUCGGUAGUAGAUGGGCAUGCGUUCCAUUAGCUUGUUGGUGAGGUAACGGCUCACCAAGGCAACGAUGGAUAGGGGAACUGAGAGGUUGAUCCCCCACACUGGAACUGAGACACGGUCCAGACUCCUACGGGAGGCAGCAGUGAGGAAUAUUGGUCAAUGGACGAGAGUCUGAACCAGCCAAGUCGCGUGAAGGAAGACGGCCCUACGGGUUGUAAACUUCUUUUGUAAGGGAAUAAAUAGUCUUACGCGCUAAGACGUUGCAGGUACCUUACGAAUAAGGAUCGGCUAACUCCGUGCCAGCAGCCGGGUAAAAGUC
rnacentral:rRNA from 1 species